UACGUAGGGGGCGAGCGUUGUCCGGAAUUAUUGGGCGUAAAGAGCGUGUAGGCGGCUCGGUAAGUCUGCCGUGAAAACCUGGGGCUCAACCCCGGGCGUGCGGUGGAUACUGCUGGCUAGAGGGUGGUAGAGGCGAGUGGAAUUCCCGGUGUAGCGGUGAAAUGCGCAGAUAUCAGGAGGAACACCGGUGGCGAAGGCGGAUCUCUGGGCCAUUACUGACGCUGAGGAGCGAAAGCGUGGGGAGCGAACAGG
rnacentral:rRNA from 1 species